CAUUACGCAUUAAUGCUAUGUUGUAAUUACUGUAUUUACGAAUUUAGCACCAAAAUAUCGUGAUAUAUUGAAAACAUUGACUACAAAAAUGCGUUGGAUAAUCCAGAAUGUUGGAUAAGUGAGACUCUAUAUUAUUACAUUAUAUUAUUGUAUAUUACUAUAUUAUUACAUUAUAUUACUACAAUAUUGUAUUCAUCAUUAUAUUAUUUUCCAUUACGUUAUUUCAUGCUAAACUAUUAAUACGUUUUUAUUAUUAUUUAUUGCAUAUUAUUAUAUUAUAAUAUUCUAUUCUUCAUUCUGUCCCUAUUAUUUUAUUCUACUAUGGCAUUGAUAUUUUUCAUAUCGUUAUUAUAUUAUGUUCUUAUUCUAUUUCCAUAGUAUUGUUACUCUGCUUUCUUUUUCUAGGGAGAGGAUUCCCAGCAGGGAGGGAGCGAGGGCGGGCGGAAGUCCCGCCUCCCCAGCUUCGGGCGCCAUCUUGGGGCCGGGCGGAAGUGUAGCGAGGGCGGGAGUGAGGCGCCGCGCACAACUCCUGCGGAGGGGGCGGGGCCACUUCCGGGAGGGCGUUCCUCGAUGGCGGCGGCGAGGGGAGAGGAGAGCCGCGCUGAGGAGAGAGAAAGAGCGAGGAAGGGAGGAAGGCGGAGAUGGAUGGAUGUUUAUUUUCCCUCCGGGAGCGAGAGGCGUGGAUGAUGGGCUGUGUCGUCAAAUUUCGAGGUUGGGGGGCCUGAAGUUUUGUUGUUUUGUGGGUCGCCGUGAUGCCAUCACUCUUUUAUAUAUAUAGAAGAUUAUCAGAUAACAUUUCUGGUUAUAGUGGCCUCUUGCCUUUGCCCAUGGUGCCACCCACCCACCCAUGCACCCAACAGGGACAUUCAAUAUAGAUAUAUGACAUUAUAAUAUAAUAUAAAAGUAUAAUAAUAAUGAAUAAUAAUAAUAAUAAUAUAAUGGUACAACAAUAACAGCAGAUAAUACAGUAGUCUCACUUAUCCAAGCUUCACUUAUCCACUGUUCUGAAUUAUCAAAAGGGAGUCUGCCUUUACUUAUUUAUUUUUAUUUAUUUAUUUACAACAUUUAUCUCCCGCCCUUUUCACCCGAGGGGACUCAGGGUGGCUUACAGAAAUUGGCAAUAUUUAAUGCCCAAAGAAUACAAUCAUAAAAGCAAAACAAUACAUAUCGAUCCAUUAAUAACAUUGUUAAAAUACAUUAUAAAAACCUUAAAAACAUAUAUAUAAUUAAUUCCAUUUGUCCAAGAACCUCAUGCUUCAUCCUUAAAUCAAGCCAUGUCGACUUUGUUGUUUGGGCACACAACCAUGUUUUUAUGGCCCUUCUGAAACCCAAAAGGGUUGGAGCCUGUCGGAUAUCUCUAGGGAGAGCGUUACACAGUCGGGGAGCCACCACCGAGAAGGCCCUGUCCCUCGUUCCCACCAGCCGCGCCUGCGAGUCAGGUAGGACCAAGAGCAGGGCCUCUCCAGGGCCUCCUUUAGUAGUCAAUGUUUUCGUAGUAAAUGUUGCAAUGUUUUGGUGCUAAAUUCGUAAAUACAGUAAUUACUACAUAACAUUACUGUGUAUUGAUGCUCAAUUUGUAAAAUCAUAAUAUAAUUUUAUGUUUUAUAGGCUUUUUUUCUUAAUCCCCCCUUAUUAUCCAACAUUUUAGCUUAUCCAAUAUUCUGCCGGCCCAUUUAUCUUGGAUAAGUGAGACUCUACUGUAAUAAUAAUAAUAAUAAUAAUAAUAAUAAUAAUAAUAGUAAUAGUAAUAGAAUAAUAUGAGAAUGACAUAAUAUAAUAAAUAUAAAUGCUGUAAAUAAAUAAAUAAAUAAAUAAAUAAUAAAAUAAUACAAAAAGGAUACAACAAUAGUGACUCAUACUUACUUAGGAGAUCCCCCGUAGUUCGAGGACGAUUGUCUUCCAUCUCUGGUGUCUUGGGGGUGGGUUCUUAGGUGGCUGAAGAGACCUAUUCUUGAUGUGCAUGUUCUCCCGCAGUGAGGACAUCGGUUUCCAGGUGGAGGCGGGUCUCGGUCAGGGUUAGCUUGAUGCGCCUUCCUCUUGGGACGUUUCUCCUUUAAGCCCUCCAUUUGUGCCUCUUCGAACUCCGCAGCACUGCUGGUCACAGCUGACCUCCAAUUAGAGCACUCAAGGGCCAGGGCUUCCCAGGUCUCAGUGUCUAGGCCACAGUUUUUAAGGUUGGCUUUAAGCCAUCUUUAAAUCUCUUUUCCUGCCCACCAACAUUACGUUUCCCAUUCUUGAGUUCGGAGUAGAGUGGCUGUUUUGGAAGACGGUGAUCGGGCAUUCGGACAACGUGGCAUUCAGUCCAGCGGAGUUGAUGGCGUAGGAGCAUCGCUUCAAUGCUGGUGGUCUUUGCUUCUUCCAGCUCGCUGGCAUUUGUCCGCCUGUCUUCC
rnacentral:lncRNA from 11 species